AUGAAGUGGAUACAAAAAAUGAUAUCGGAUGAAAAAGAAAUAGAACAUAUUGUGAAUGACUGUGAUGAGGAAGAACUACCAAUGCAGAUACAGAAUGAAAAUGACAUCGAUUAUGUGCCAUACAACUCAGAUUAUUACAGCCCUGAUGACCAAUACAUCAACUCAAAUGAUUACAACCAAUAUGACCAAUACAUCAACUCAAAUGAUUACAACCAAUAUGGUAAGUUAGCCUAUUCCUUUUUAAUUACAGAAACUUUUCUUCAGAUUAAGGGACCCAAAAGACAGGAAUGAUUUAAGUUUCUUCCGCUGUUAGAAAAAGGCAGAGACCAGCCUUGGCAAUGAUUAAAAAGCAUUAGGUGCCCCAUCUAGAAACUUUCCAAAUUAGAACUUUCCAGAUCCAUGUUAGGUCAAAGUUUAUGAUAGCCAAUCCAUAUUCUCUACUGUUUUUGUCCAUGACCCAUUUCCCUGAUGUCCAUUGCUGGCCAUAUUCAUGCAGAGAAGCAAUUGCCAGUUAAGUCUUCAAAAGAAGGCUUAGGACAUUGAACUCUAUAGUGUCCCCAUUCAGCAGGAGAGGUAUGUUGGUCUUAGACUUUGUUCUACAUGGAUUUUCUGGUAAAAAACAAAAACAAAAAUAAAAAUAAAAAAACUAAGAAAAUUUUGGCA
rnacentral:lncRNA from 1 species